rnacentral:lncRNA from 1 species
AUGCCGUCCCCCGCCUGUUUACUUGCUCGUGGUCGCCCACCCUCCGUCUCUUUCCUAAAUCGCGCAACCCCUAGUAUAGUUAAUUGGGCUGGGACUGGGCUGCGUGUUUGCUCUUGCUAGUCGCGCGCCGCCGCGCUAACAUGUUCCUUCGCUCUUGUUCGUGACACUCCCCUGCUGCCGCCCUGUGCUCUGUUGUUUUCUUAUUCGCUCGUAGGUGAGAAUUUCAUCGAGGAUUGGGCGGGAGCUUGGACUUAGCGGCCAGGAGUAGCGACGCGGAGCUGGGAAUUGUAGGAGUGCCUGGGCCUCACGGUACCGUGAGCACAUGCAUGGGUUUGCACCCUUGAGAGCGUGUGGACACUAAUCCCCCCUCGAGGUUAGAGUAGCGGGGGUUGCGCGAUUUCCGGUUGGUAAGACCGGCGGCUCAACGCAGCAGGUAUGCGAGGUAACUUCAGGUAACAUCCGUAAACCGUCGCUUUGCUGCAUCGCAUACACUGUCUUUGCGCAACGUUUUCCUUGUGCUCUUUAACACAAGUGCGCGAGCCGGUUCAUGUCCCGCGGGCGUGCCGGGGCCUCUAGGGCUCGUGUUUUAGCGACUUGAUUUGUGAGUGUAUGGACAAUUUCUGGUGGUGAAAUUGCCCUAUGCUCACAAAUCUGUCGAAGGGUAAUUUUCGGCGUCCUACUCAGUGCUGUGCUGCGUGCCGUCGCGUCUGGACGAUGCUACCGAAAAUUGCUAUCUUGUCGGAGUUUUGGGCACUAGGCCUGGAGCCCGUUCCGCGGGGUCGGGGACCGGGCUGGGGGCCUUGUGGCGCCUCGGGCGCGCCGUGUUCCUCCUGCUUGUCGCGUUCCUCUGAUUUGCGCCAUAACCUGUACUGACUUUGGGCCCGCCCUCCCCGUGCCGCUGCCCCGCGGCAUCGACGUCCCCAUAAGCUGUACGUGUACUUGGACCUGGUGCUACAUGGCCGCAUGAGGGGAGUACCUAGCGUGUGCCGCCUCCGUCACACCAUGGAGUGGGGAGCGGGGGUUUUUCCCCCGCCAGCCCAUGGUGCUGACACCCCAUUUGCAUUUGCCGUCAUGCAUGCGCCCAUGCCGUCCCCCGCCUGUUUACUUGCUCGUGGUCGCCCACCCUCCGUCUCUUUCCUAAAUCGCGCAACCCCUAGUAUAGUUAAUUGGGCUGGGACUGGGCUGCGUGUUUGCUCUUGCUAGUCGCGCGCCGCCGCGCUAACAUGUUCCUUCGCUCUUGUUCGUGACACUCCCCUGCUGCCGCCCUGUGCUCUGUUGUUUUCUUAUUCGCUCGUAGGUGAGAAUUUCAUCGAGGAUUGGGCGGGAGCUUGGACUUAGCGGCCAGGAGUAGCGACGCGGAGCUGGGAAUUGUAGGAGUGCCUGGGCCUCACGGUACCGUGAGCACAUGCAUGGGUUUGCACCCUUGAGAGCGUGUGGACACUAAUCCCCCCUCGAGGUUAGAGUAGCGGGGGUUGCGCGAUUUCCGGUUGGUAAGACCGGCGGCUCACCGCAGCAGGUAUGCGAGGUAACUUCAGGUAACAUCCGUAAACCGUCGCUUUGCUGCAUCGCAUACACUGUCUUUGCGCAACGUUUUCCUUGUGCUCUUUAACACACACACACACACACACACACACACACACACACACACACACACACACACACAUUCUCCACGUACGCGCAAUCAGCAUACUCUCCGCAUGUGGUGCGGUGUAAUUUGUAACCCCAGCCCAACCUGCGGCAUGCACUACCG